rnacentral:rRNA from 1 species
UAGGGAAUCUUCCACAAUGGACGCAAGUCUGAUGGAGCAACGCCGCGUGAGUGAAGAAGGCUUUCGGGUCGUAAAACUCUGUUAUUGAAGAAGAACGUGUGUGACAGUAACUGGUCAUGCAGUGACGGUAUUCAAUCAGAAAGUCACGGCUAACUACGUGCCAGCAGCCGCGGUAAUACGUAGGUGGCAAGCGUUGUCCGGAUUUAUUGGGCGUAAAGCGAGUGCAGGCGGUCUUUUAAGUCUGAUGUGAAAGCCUUCGGCUUAACCGAAGAAGGGCAUCGGAAACUGGGAGACUUGAGUGCAGAGGAGGAGAGUGGAACUCCAUGUGUAGCGGUGAAAUGCGUAGAUAUAUGGAAGAACACCAGUGGCGAAGGCGGCUCUCUGGUCUGUAACUGACGCUGAGGCUCGAAAAGCGUGGGUAGCAAAACAGGAU